rnacentral:rRNA from 1 species
AGAGUUUGAUCAUGGCUCAGGACAAACGCUGGCGGCGUGCAUAAAACAUGCAAGUCGAACGGACUUCAGUCCGCAAGGACUGAAGUGAGUGGCGAGCGGCUGAGUAACACGUAGGUGACCUGCCCCGAAGUUUGGGAUAACAACUCGAAAGAGUUGCUAAUACCGGAUGUGACCACCGAUUCAUUUCGGUGCUUAAAGUCGCAAGACGCUUUGGGAGGGGCCUGCGGCGGAUUAGCUAGUUGGUGUGGUAACGGCAUACCAAGGCUUCGAUCCGUAGCUGGUCUGAGAGGAUGGCCAGCCAGACUGGGACUGAGACACGGCCCAGACUCCUACGGGAGGCAGCAGUUAGGAAUUUUGCGCAAUGGAGGAAACUCUGACGCAGCCACGCCGCGUGGGGGAUGAAGGCCUUCGGGUCGUAAACCUCUUUUCUCAGGGAAGACACCCGACGGUACCUGAGGAAUAAGCAACGGCUAACUACGUGCCAGCAGCCGCGGUAAUACGUAGGUUGCGAGCGUUGUCCGGAUUUACUGGGCGUAAAGCGCGCGCAGGUGGUCCUGAAAGUCGAGCGUGAAAGCUCCCGGCCCAACUGGGAGAGGCCGUUCGAAACUUCAGGACUUGAAGGCGGGAGAGGCAAAUGGAAUUUCCGGUGUAGCGGUAAAAUGCGUAGAUACCGGAAGGAACACCAGUGGCGAAAGCGAUUUGCUGGCCCGCCCUUGACACUCACGCGCGAAAGCUAGGGGAGCGACCGGGAUUAGAUACCCCGUUAGUCCUAGCCGUAAACAAUGGGCACUAGGUGUUGUCGGUAUCGACCCCGGCAGUGCCGUAGCUAACGCAUUAAGUGCCCCGCCUGGGGGAGUACGACCGCAAGGUUAAAACUCAAAGGAAUUGACGG